AGAGGGGACUUACGAUCACGGAGCCACACGCCCAGGCCCAACCCAGGCCCAGGAGCUCCACCCUAGGGAAACGCCUAAGUCAGAACAGAGCACUCCUAACCCCCCGGGGCAAGGAGGGGAGGCCAGGCAGCCGGAAGGAAACUCCUGAGCUUUUUACGGAAUGCACAAGACAAAAGCCAUGUUUUGUUCAGUCCUUCAGAAGAUAGAAAUUGAACACCUGACUUGUGGACAGCACCUCUAAACACUGCAGAGAGAGAUUCAGAGAUGAAUAGCCCUGGCCCUUAGGGUUCUUGCGGUCACAAGCACCGUCCAGUAAGAGCAGCCCAUGGUUAUGAGUAACAAGAGCAGACACUACGGCAGGCACUUGGUUUAGGGACAUUGCCUUGUUUCAUCCUCACGGUGACUUCAGGAGGACAGUGCCAUCGUUACGCCGUUUAACAGAUGGUAAAACUGAGGCCCAGAGAGGGGAGUGCCUUGCUUCAGAUGACUCAGCAACGCAGUGGCUGAGCAAGGAUUUGAACUCAGGCAGAAUGGUGGCAGAGCCUGUUUGCCUAACUUCUAAAUUUCCCUAACUCUCUAGAACAGAGGGUAGUAGGAGUGCAGCAGACAGGACAACUAACCCUGCCUGGAAAAGUCAUGGUGGGCUUCCCGGAGGAGGCGUCCUUAGGCUGGGGCUUGAAGACGAGGUAUUUACCAGACAAAUAGUGGAGAAGAAGGCUGUCUUAAACAGAAAAAACUUCUUAUGUGGUCCUGGGUUCUGAGGGCCCAGCUCUUCUCACCCUCCUUCUCCGAGGAGUGGGGGAACGGAAGUGCAGAGCCUUCGUGUUUUACCCUCCUUCUCCGAGGAGUGGGGAACGGAAGUGCAGAGCCUUUAUGUUUUGUGACAGUGGAAUCCCCUUCGCGGGCCACCUCCUCGAUCUGAAAGGCUCUAUCUGCAGCUACUGAAUUCCCUUCAGCUCGUAAGUCUUAAUAGCAAUGUCAUCCCCUUCUGAAAACUUUCCUGGACUGCUCCUUAUCUUGCUGCCGGUGAUUGAAAGCAAUCCUUUCCUCUCUCUUCCCUCACACCUGCCUGUUUGCAUUAAAGUUCUUGAGUUGGACUCCA
ensembl:lncRNA LINC02026 long intergenic non-protein coding RNA 2026